GACGAACGCUGGCGGCGUGCCUAACACAUGCAAGUCGAACGGAGAUACGAUUUCGGUUGUAUCUUAGUGGCGAACGGGUGAGUAACGCGUGAGCAACCUGACCUUCAGAGGGGGAUAACAUUUGGAGACAGAUGCUAAUACCGCAUAAGACCACGACCCGACAUCGGGAUGAGGUCAAAGGAGCAAUCCGCUGAAGGAGGGGCUCGCGUCCCAUUAGAGAAAUGGCGGGGUAACGUCCCACCAUGUCGACGAUGGGUAGCCGAGCUGAGAGGCUGCUCGGCCACACUGGAACUGAGACACGGUCCAGACUCCUACGGGGGGCAGCAGUGGGGAAUAUUGGGCAAUGGGCGCAAGCCUGACCCAGCAACGCCGCGUGAGGGAAGAAGGCUUUCGGGUUGUAAACCUCUGUCCUUGGUGACGAAACAAAUGACGGUAGCCAAGGAGGAAGCCCCGGCUAACUACGUGCCAGCAGCCGCCGUAA
rnacentral:rRNA from 1 species